rnacentral:rRNA from 1 species
AGUGAAUAGACUACCCUGGUAGUCCACGCCCUAAACGAUGCUAACUCGAUGUGUGGCAGAGAUGUUGCGCGUCUAAAGGGAAACCGUUAAGUUAGCCACCGUGGGGAGUACGUUCGCAAGAAUGAAACUCAAAGGAAUUGACGGGGGUCGCACAAGCGGUGGAGCAUGUGGUUUAAUUCGAUGAUACGCGAGGAACCUUACCGUGGGCUAUAAUGCGACCGCGAUACUGGGUAAACUGGUAGUUCCUUCGGGACGGUCAGCAAGGUGCUGCAUGGUUGUCGUCAGCUCGUGCCGUGAGGUGUUGGGUUAACGUCCCGCAACGAGCGCAACCCUAUUGUUAGUUACCAAGCUUGAGAGAUCAAGAGGGACUCUAACGAGACUGCCGGCGUAAGCCGCGAGGAAGGUGGGGUAUGACGUCAAAUCAUCAUGGCCUUUAUGUUCAGGGCGACACACGUGCUACAAUGGCCGGGUACAGAGGGGUUGCGAACGCUGGAAGGUGGAGCUAAUCUCAGAAAGCCGGUCUC